UACGUAGGGUGCAAGCGUUAAUCGGAAUUACUGGGCGUAAAGCGUGCGCAGGCGGUUCGUUAAGUCAGAUGUGAAAUCCCCGGGCUUAACCUGGGAACUGCAUUUGUGACGGGCGGACUCGAGUAUGGCAGAGGGGGGUAGAAUUCCACGUGUAGCAGUGAAAUGCGUAGAGAUGUGGAGGAAUACCGAUGGCGAAGGCAGCCCCCUGGGCCAAUACUGACGCUGAGGCGCGAAAGCGUGGGGAGCAAACAGG
rnacentral:rRNA from 1 species